CGCAUCUCGUGUUCAAUAGAAUUUGUUUGUUUAGUAAAUUUUAGGAGACAUACAUUUUUCUAUUGGAUACAAGAUACGUG
rnacentral:pre_miRNA from 1 species